rnacentral:rRNA from 1 species
UACGUAGGUGGCGAGCGUUAUCCGGAAUUACUGGGCGUAAAGCGCAUGCAGGCGGCUCAUUAAGUUUGACGUGAAAUCUCCCGGCUUAACCGGGAGGGGCCGUUGAAAACUGAUAAGCUUGAGGCGAUGAGAGGGGUGUGGAAUUCCCGGUGUAGUGGUGGAAUGCGUAGAUAUCGGGAGGAACACCAGAGGCGAAAGCGACACCCUGGCAUUUGCCUGACGCUGAGAUGCGAAAGCGUGGGGAGCAAACGGG